GUAGGGAAUAUUGGUCAAUGGACGAGAGUCUGAACCAGCCAUUCCGCGUGCAGGAAGAAGAUUCUAUGGAUUGUAAACUGCUUUUAGCAGAGAAGAAACGCCUUCAUUGAUGAGGGUUUGACGGUAUCUGCGGAAUAAGCACCGGCUAACUCCGUGCCAGCAGCCGCGGUAAUACGGGGGGUGCAAGCGUUAUCCGGAAUCACUGGGUUUAAAGGGUGCGUAGGCGGGAAAUUAAGUCAGUGGUGAAAGUCUGUUGCUUAACGAUAGAAUUGCCGUUGAUACUGAUUUUCUUGAAUUGGGUUGAGGUUAGCGGAAUGUGACAUGUAGCGGUGAAAUGCAUAGAUAUGUCAUGGAACACCAAUUGCGAAGGCAGCUAGCUGGGCCUUGAUUGACGCUGAGGCACGAAAGCGUGGGGAGCAAACAGGAUUAGAAACCCGAGUAGUCC
rnacentral:rRNA from 1 species